rnacentral:rRNA from 1 species
UACAGAGGUCUCAAGCGUUGUUCGGAUUCAUUGGGCGUAAAGGGUGCGUAGGCGGCGCGGUAAGUCGGGUGUGAAAUCUCGGGGCUUAACUCCGAGCCUGCUUCCGAUACGGGCAGACUAGAGGUAGGCAGGGGGAGAGCGGAACUCCUGGUGUAGCGGUGGAAUGCGCAGAUAUCAGGAAGAACACCGGUGGCGAAGGCGGCUCUCUGGGGCCUUACCUGACGCUGAGGAGCGAAAGCGUGGGUAGCGAACAGG